GGCGAAAUGUAACGAGAUUCUUUUAGAUUCGGAGGGUCUUUGUACGAUGGAAGCAAAAUAUGUCGUGUUGUGUAUUGAUUCUAGAAGAGGUUAGAAUCAUUCGAGCUAAUUUGUGGUUUACGUUCCGAUGUUUGUGAAAUGUAACGUUUUACACGUAAUGGAAGCUAUUCACAAUAAUGAAGUCGUUCUACUAUUCCAAAACAAUUAUAAAUUCUAAAAUAAUUUUAAAAAGGUUUUAUAAUGUGUUUAUUUUGGAAUAAAAACAAGAUUAUGGAAAGAAGAUUUUAUUAAAGGAGAUUAUUGAAGAUUCUUUAUCACGUACAAAGAGAGAUUUACAAUUACAUAUCUCGCUAAUAGCCAUCAGGAUGAUUUCCAGCGACGAUUGCCACAAAUAAUACCUUGCCGAUCGAUAGAUGGAAUCGACGUUGGAAAUUAAUUGGUGCCGUUAGUUGCCGAGUUAAUUGCCGCUCAUACUACAAGCGCGCCACUUUUUCUCGUCUUGAACCGAUCCUCGACAUAAUCUCGUCGAUCACCGGAACAGGAGCAAAGAAAUCGAGUGUCUAGACGUGAUGAUGAUCGUCGAGGUAAGUUUUAUAAUGUUCGACAACAUUCGAUAGAUAAUAGAGAUCAAAAGAAAUGUGAGUCGAUGUUUUGGUGAGAUGGAUUACACGAGACAAGAGGAAACGAAGAGCUCGCGUUCUCGUUCGACGAGUUAAUUGAUCGGCAUCACGAGGGACCAUCAUGGAGUAGGUCAUGAUUUGUGUUUUGUUCAUUCGGUAUACCUGGUAAGGUAAUCCUUUUUUUUUUCGAUUUUAUCCAUGGUUUUUAUAUUUUAUUUGUUUUUUAUACUAUUGUAAAUUCAUUAUAUUCUUUUUUCUAAAUAUAUUUUUAGAGAAAAAAAAUAGAAUUUUUAUAAGUUUUUGUAUUUUAAAUUUUUAAUUUUAGAAAAAUGUAUAUUUCUAUAAAAAGAUUUUAAUCUAAAUGAAAAUUCUUUUUUUCUAAUUACAUUAUUUCAAAAAUUCUUCUGUUGCGCCACUGCUGAACAACGGUACUUCAGAUAUUUUUUCACCUAAUCAUUAUUACAUACCAACACCUCUUAAAUCAUAGAAAUCUUCCAUACAAUGCAUAAAAUAACCAUUUAUCUUUUACCUAAUGAAAUUCACAUCACAAAACUUUCCUCAGAAAUGAUUUAUUAUCACAAAAUUUUUCUACGUGUCUCGUAAAACUAUAUUUAUUCAUUGAUGUAUUCAAAGAAAAAUCUUCUUAUCUAAAUCAAUUGCAAUUUAACUUUAGAAAUACUUUAUUGUUGCAAAGUUUUGCAUAAUUUAUAUAAAUCUUAAUUUUCUUAAAAAAAAAAGAAAUUUAUUGCAAAUUUUUUUUAGAUUGAUAUUUCUAAGAGAAAUAUUUCUUGUUAAGAUUAAUAAGUACUUAAGUAACUCACUUAAUUCACUUACAGUAAUCUUAUAUUUUUAUAAAAAUCCUAUACUUUUUAUUAUAAUAAUAAAAUUUCUUCACAUAUCA